GUGAGGAAUUUUCCACAAUGGGCGAAAGCCUGAUGGAGCGACGCCGUGUGUGCGAUGAAGUCCUUCGGGAUGUAAAGCACUGUCAGCAGGGACGAUAAUGACGGUACCUGCAGAGGAAGGCCCGGCUAACUACGUGCCAGCAGCCGCGGUAAUACGUAGGGGCCAAGCGUUGUCCGGAAUUAUUGGGCGUAAAGGGCGCGUAGGCGGCCCGGUAAGUCAGAUGUUAAAUCUACAGGCUCAACCUGUAGCCGCAUCUGAUACUGCCAGGCUAGAGAAUGGUAGAGGAAAGUGGAACUUCCGGUGUAGCGGUGAAAUGCGUAGAUAUCGGAAGGAACACCAGUGGCGAAGGCGGCUUUCUGGGCCAUUUCUGACGCUGAGGCGCGAAAGCCAGGGGAGCAAACGGGAUUAGAAACCCUUGUAGUCC
rnacentral:rRNA from 1 species